rnacentral:rRNA from 1 species
AACGAACGCUGGCGGCAUGCCUAACACAUGCAAGUCGAACGAAGCCUUCGGGCUUAGUGGCGCACGGGUGCGUAACGCGUGGGAAUCUGCCCUUUGGUUCGGAAUAACAGUUAGAAAUGACUGCUAAUACCGGAUAAUGACGUAAGUCCAAAGAUUUAUCGCCGAAGGAUGAGCCCGCGUAGGAUUAGGUAGUUGGUGGGGUAAUGGCCCACCAAGCCGACGAUCCUUAGCUGGUCUGAGAGGAUGAUCAGCCACACUGGGACUGAGACACGGCCCAGACUCCUACGGGAGGCAGCAGUGGGGAAUAUUGGACAAUGGGCGAAAGCCUGAUCCAGCAAUGCCGCGUGAGUGAUGAAGGCC